UGGAGAGAGAGAGGAGCAGUUGGUAGGAGAAGAAGAGAGGUAGUAAAUAGGAGGAUGGAGAAAAGGAUUUAUGAUUAUAAAUUUUGACAUUUUAUAUCUGGCCUAGCAUGAGUUUUGCCGUCAAGUGACCCUCAGCCUACGUGGCAGUGUGCUCAACCCACUAUGAUGCAGGCCAGCACUGUUUUGGCCCAGGUAGGACCUUUUGUGACUCACUUAUUGCAUUGGACACAAAUGCGUACUUCCGUACUAUUAGGACUAUAUUGACACCCUCGGUAUACUAGUAGGACCUCUGUUGCACUUCACUCGUUAAAAAACCUGACAUCUAAACCAAAUAGCUCACUAAUCAAGGAAAAAAAAUCAGAUGCGCCAUCAUGUAAACAUGGCGUUGUGACCAAUUUGGUACUAACUCAAACUUGAAUUGCUCCUCAUCGUUUUAUUAUUUAGUUCAUGCAUUUUUAUAAUCCAACUUCUAUCAUCAAUAUUUGCCUACUGCAAUUGUGGUUUGUGAAGACAAGGGUAUGAUUACUGAUGAUUUUUUUUCCUGUUUCUGUUUUACAGCGAGUCAUCCAAUUGCCUUAACGACAGCUGAUGCAGUUGCAACCAAUGGUGUGAAUCCAUGGAACUGGAG
rnacentral:lncRNA from 1 species